rnacentral:rRNA from 1 species
GACGAACGCUGGCGCCGUGCUUAACACAUGCAAGUCGAACGAAGAGCGAUGGAAGCUUGCUUCUAUCAAUCUUAGUGGCGAACGGGUGAGUAACGCGUAAUCAACCUGCCCUUCAGAGGGGGACAACAGUUGGAAACGACUGCUAAUACCGCAUACGAUCUAAUCUCGGCAUCGAGGAUAGAUGAAAGGUGGCCUCUACAUGUAAGCUAUCACUGAAGGAGGGGAUUGCGUCUGAUUAGCUAGUUGGAGGGGUAACGGCCCACCAAGGCGAUGAUCAGUAGCCGGUCUGAGAGGAUGAACGGCCACAUUGGGACUGAGACACGGCCCAGACUCCUACGGGAGGCAGCAGUGGGGAAUCUUCCGUAAUGGACGAAAGUCUGACGGAGCAACGCCGCGUGAGUGAUGACGGCCUUCGGGUUGUAAAGCUCUGUUAAUCGGGACGAAAGGCCUUCUUGCGAAUAGUGAGAAGGAUUGACGGUACCGGAAGAGAAAGCCACGGCUAACUACGUG